rnacentral:rRNA from 1 species
AACGAGAAAGCCCUUCGGGGUGAGUAAAGUGGCGAACGGGUGAGUAACACGUGGGCAAUCUGCCCCUCGCAGGGGGACAACCGGGGGAAACCCCGGCUAAUACCCCGUACGCUUGUGGAGUCGCAUGGCUCCACAAGGAAAGGUAGCUUCGGCCAUCCGGCGAGGGAUGAGCCCGCGGUACAUUAGCUAGUUGGUAGGGUAACGGCCUACCAAGGCGACGAUGUAUAGCUGGUCUGAGAGGAUGAUCAGCCACACUGGGACUGAGACACGGCCCAGACUCCUACGGGAGGCAGCAGUCGGGAAUCUUGCGCAAUGGGCGAAAGCCUGACGCAGCAACACCGUGUGAGCGACGAAGGCCCUCGGGUCGUAAAGCUCUGUUGUUGGGGACGAAGGGCAAAGGGUUAAUAGCCCCUAGCCUGACGGUACCCUUCGAGGAAGCCCCGGCUAACUACGUGCCAGCAGCCGCGGUAAUACGUAGGGGGCGAGCGUUGUCCGGAAUUAUUGGGCGUAAAGAGCGUGUAAGCGGGUCGGUAAGUCUGCCGUGAAACCCUGGGGCUCAACCCCAGGCGUGCGGUGGAAACUGCCUGACUAGAGGAUG